UUUAGUGAACUGACAAUUUCCUGUUAUCUGUCUUUUUAACAUUGUUUUUCAACAUAUUGAGCACUGUAAGAGCUUGGGUUCAGUUAGAAUAUGGGACCUUUUAUGUCAACUCAUUGAUAAUCAACUGAACAGGAUACCAGCUGUCACCACCACCAACAUGCCCAGAGAGAUGAGUAGGACUUUCACAUCUAUGGACCUGAUGGAUGAAGGUAGCCCUCUCGUGGUGUGGGGGCUGUGCUUUGGCAAAGUGAGUGGGGUUAUAUCCUUCCUGUUUGGCCCUGUCCGGGGGUAUCAUCCGAUGGGGCCACAGUGUCUCCUGACCCCUCCUGUCUCCCCCUCCAGUAUUUAUGCUGCAGUAGUUUAUGUGUCGGGGGGCUAGGGUCAGUUUGUUAUAUCUGGAGUACUUCUCCUGUCUUAUCCGGUGUCCUGUGUGAAGUUAAGUAUGCUCUCUCUAAUUCUCUCUUUCUUUCUCUCUCGGAGGACCUGAGCCCUAGGACCAUGCCUCAGGACUACCAGGCAUGAUGACUCCUUGCUGUCCCCAGUCCACCUGGCCGUGCUGCUGCUCCAGUUUCAACUGUUCUGCCUGUGAUUAUUAUUAUUUGACAAUGCUGGUCAUUUAUGAACAUUUGAACAUCUUGGCCAUGUUCUGUUAUAAUCUCCACCCGGCACAGCCAGAAGAGGACUGGCCACCCAUCAGCCUGGUUCCGCUCUAGGUUUCUUCCUAGCUUUUGGCCUUUCUAGGGAGUUUUUCCUAGUCACCGUGCUUCUACACCUGCAUUGCUUGCUGUUUGGGGUUUUAGGCUGGGUUUCUGUACAGCUCUUUGAGAUAUCAGCUGAUGUACGAAGGGCUAUAUAAAUAAAUUUGAUUUGAUGGAUUAUAUAUAAAAGAUUCUAUUAAAAAUACAAUUAAAAUAGAUCCUUAUUAAUUGAUCGUUUUCUGUAUGCACUUGUUAUGUGCACAGUUGUGAUAAAAGGAACAAUUGUUUAUCUGACCAUGAAAAUUAGGAGAUUGUAUGAUUAUCAUUGAGAUUAUUACUGUACAAAUAACAUUUUUUUAAUGUGUGCAACUUGUUCUUGCAAAUGACUGAGUAUAAAACAAUAAUGCUGCUACUUCUCACAAGGCAACCACAGAGAUGUUCUACCCAGGAGGAAGUGAUAACAGUCUCUACAUGCAUUUAGGGAGGGUGUUUGGUUAGCAUUAACUGUUGUAGUGUAUGAUGGAAUUGUAAUGUUCCUCUGAGUUCAUAUUAUCUAACAACAUGUGGGAUAAAACAUCUGAAGGAGUGAU
ensembl:lncRNA